GCGAACCAGGGGAACUGAAACAUCUAAGUACCCUGAGGAAAAGAAAUCAACCGAGAUUCCCUUAGUAGUGGCGAGCGAACGGGGACUAGCCCUUAAGUGGCUUUGAGAUUAGCGGAACGCUCUGGAAAGUGCGGCCAUAGUGGGUGAUAGCCCUGUACGCGAAAAUCUCUUAGUCAUGAAAUCGAGUAGGACGGAGCACGAGAAACUUUGUCUGAAUAUGGGGGGACCAUCCUCCAAGGCUAAAUACUACUGACUGACCGAUAGUGAACUAGUACCGUGAGGGAAAGGCGAAAAGAACCCCGGAGAGGGGAGUGAAAUAGAUCCUGAAACCGUAUGCGUACAAGCAGUGGGAGCCCACUUUGUUGGGUGACUGCGUACCUUUUGUAUAAUGGGUCAGCGACUUAUUUUCAGUGGCGAGCUUAACCGAAUAGGGGAGGCGUAGCGAAAGCGAGUCUUAAUAGGGCGUCUAGUCGCUGGGAAUAGACCCGAAACCGGGCGAUCUAUCCAUGGGCAGGUUGAAGGUUGGGUAACACUAACUGGAGGACCGAACCGACUACCGUUGAAAAGUUAGCGGAUGACCUGUGGAUCGGAGUGAAAGGCUAAUCAAGCUCGGAGAUAGCUGGUUCUCCUCGAAAGCUAUUUAGGUAGCGCCUCAUGUAUCACUGUAGGGGGUAGAGCACUGUUUCGGCUAGGGGGUCAUCCCGACUUACCAAACCGAUGCAAACUCCGAAUACCUACAAGUGCCGAGCAUGGGAGACACACGGCGGGUGCUAACGUCCGUCGUGAAAAGGGAAACAACCCAGACCGUCAGCUAAGGUCCCAAAGUUAUGGUUAAGUGGGAAACGAUGUGGGAAGGCUUAGACAGCUAGGAGGUUGGCUUAGAAGCAGCCACCCUUUAAAGAAAGCGUAAUAGCUCACUAGUCGAGUCGGCCUGCGCGGAAGAUGUAACGGGGCUCAAACCAUACACCGAAGCUACGGGUAUCACGUAAGUGAUGCGGUAGAGGAGCGUUCUGUAAGCCUGUGAAGGUGAGUUGAGAAGCUUGCUGGAGGUAUCAGAAGUGCGAAUGCUGACAUGAGUAACGAUAAUGGGUGUGAAAAACACCCACGCCGAAAGACCAAGGUUUCCUGCGCAACGUUAAUCGACGCAGGGUUAGUCGGUCCCUAAGGCGAGGCUGAAAAGCGUAGUCGAUGGAAAACAGGUUAAUAUUCCUGUACUUCUGGUUAUUGCGAUGGAGGGACGGAGAAGGCUAGGCCAGCUUGGCGUUGGUUGUCCAAGUUUAAGGUGGUAGGCUGGAAUCUUAGGUAAAUCCGGGAUUCUAAGGCCGAGAGCUGAUGACGAGUUA
rnacentral:rRNA from 2 species